rnacentral:tRNA from 1 species
GCGAAGGUGGCGGAAUUGGUAGACGCGCUAGCUUCAGGUGUUAGUGUUCUUACGGACGUGGGGGUUUAAGUCCCCCCCCUCGCACCA